GGCAUAUUAGCUCAGCUGGUUAAAGCGUCAUGCUAAUAACGCGAAGCUCACAGUUUUGAGACCUGUAUGUUCCA
rnacentral:tRNA from 1 species